CGACGUCACGUCGGAAGAGACCGGCCCAGCCGGCGCCGAAGGAGCAACCGCCCCGGAAACUCUCAGGCAAAAGGACCGCGUGACGGAU
rnacentral:ncRNA from 2 species